AAAAAAAAACACAAACAAAUGAAACUGAAUGUUGACCACUUUGUGACUGUCCAGCUGAAUUAUCACACAAACUGUGGACGACCACAACGGCAACCAGAUGCAGGGAGGCAACAUCAGGCCCCUUCUCAGCCCCCCUCCCCUUCUCACUCCCCCUCCCCUUCUCAAUCCCCCUCCCCUUCUCACUCCCCCUCCCCUUCCCAGUCCCCCUCACCUUCCCAGUCCCCCUCAGCUUCCCAGUCCCCCUCAGCUUCCCAGUCCCCCUCAGCUUCCCAGUCCCCCUCAGCUUCACCGGCCCCCUCAGCUUCCCAGGCCCCCUCCCCUUUCCACUCCCCUUCUCAGCCCACCUCUCCUUCUCUUUCUGUGCCCCCUUCUCCUCCUUCCCAGUCCCCUUCUCCUUCUACUUCCAACUCCCCUUCUCAGCCACCCUCACCCUCUAUUGGACAAACAUUCUCUCCGCCCCCCUCGCCAUCUCAAUCAGACCCACCCUCAGAAAUUACAUCCCCAAUCCCUCCUCCUUACCCCAUCUCUCCUCCUUCCCCAAUCCCUCCUCCUUCACCCAUCCCUCCUCCUUCCCCCAUCCCUCCUCCUUCCCCAAUCCCUCCUCCUUCCCCAUCCAGCUGCCUUCACCACCCAGUGAAUGGGCAGAAGAAGCCCCUGAUGGUCUCAGCGGUGAACAUAAUGUUGCUGAGGAAAAUGUUGCAGUUGGAGAUCCCACAAGUUUUGGGGGAAUUAUUGAAACCAUGCGCCAACACCUGCAUGGGUUAAUUAAUUGUCUGGAUCAGUUACAAAAAUUUGCAUGAUUUUUUUUUUGUUUAAUACAUUUAUUGAUUACAAAAAAAUUACAAAUAAAAACAAGUUGUUUAAAGUUAA